rnacentral:rRNA from 2 species
AGAGUUUGAUCAUGGCUCAGAUUGAACGCUGGCGGCAGGCCUAACACAUGCAAGUCGAGCGGUAGCACAGAGAGCUUGCUCUCGGGUGACGAGCGGCGGACGGGUGAGUAAUGUCUGGGAAACUGCCUGAUGGAGGGGGAUAACUACUGGAAACGGUAGCUAAUACCGCAUAAUGUCGCAAGACCAAAGUGGGGGACCUUCGGGCCUCAUGCCAUCAGAUGUGCCCAGAUGGGAUUAGCUAGUAGGUGGGGUAACGGCUCACCUAGGCGACGAUCCCUAGCUGGUCUGAGAGGAUGACCAGCCACACUGGAACUGAGACACGGUCCAGACUCCUACGGGAGGCAGCAGUGGGGAAUAUUGCACAAUGGGCGCAAGCCUGAUGCAGCCAUGCCGCGUGUGUGAAGAAGGCCUUCGGGUUGUAAAGCACUUUCAGCGGGGAGGAAGGCGUUAAGGUUAAUAACCUCAUCGAUUGACGUUACCCGCAGAAGAAGCACCGGCUAACUCCGUGCCAGCAGCCGCGGUAAUACGGAGGGUGCAAGCGUUAAUCGGAAUUACUGGGCGUAAAGCGCACGCAGGCGGUCUGUCAAGUCGGAUGUGAAAUCCCCGGGCUCAACCUGGGAACUGCAUUCGAAACUGGCAGGCUAGAGUCUUGUAGAGGGGGGUAGAAUUCCAGGUGUAGCGGUGAAAUGCGUAGAGAUCUGGAGGAAUACCGGUGGCGAAGGCGGCCCCCUGGACAAAGACUGACGCUCAGGUGCGAAAGCGUGGGGAGCAAACAGGAUUAGAUACCCUGGUAGUCCACGCCGUAAACGAUGUCGAUUUGGAGGUUGUGCCCUUGAGGCGUGGCUUCCGGAGCUAACGCGUUAAAUCGACCGCCUGGGGAGUACGGCCGCAAGGUUAAAACUCAAAUGAAUUGACGGGGGCCCGCACAAGCGGUGGAGCAUGUGGUUUAAUUCGAUGCAACGCGAAGAACCUUACCUGGUCUUGACAUCCACAGAACUUUCCAGAGAUGGAUUGGUGCCUUCGGGAACUGUGAGACAGGUGCUGCAUGGCUGUCGUCAGCUCGUGUUGUGAAAUGUUGGGUUAAGUCCCGCAACGAGCGCAACCCUUAUCCUUUGUUGCCAGCGGUUCGGCCGGGAACUCAAAGGAGACUGCCAGUGAUAAACUGGAGGAAGGUGGGGAUGACGUCAAGUCAUCAUGGCCCUUACGACCAGGGCUACACACGUGCUACAAUGGCAUAUACAAAGAGAAGCGACCUCGCGAGAGCAAGCGGACCUCAUAAAGUAUGUCGUAGUCCGGAUUGGAGUCUGCAACUCGACUCCAUGAAGUCGGAAUCGCUAGUAAUCGUAGAUCAGAAUGCUACGGUGAAUACGUUCCCGGGCCUUGUACACACCGCCCGUCACACCAUGGGAGUGGGUUGCAAAAGAAGUAGGUAGCUUAACCUUCGGGAGGGCGCUUACCACUUUGUGAUUCAUGACUGGGGUGAAGUCGUAACAAGGUAACCGUAGGGGAACCUGCGGUUG